AACGAACGCUGGCGGCAGGCUUAACACAUGCAAGUUGAACGGGAUUUGUGUGGUGCUUGCACCAUAUAAUGAGAGUAGCGCACUGGUGAGUAACACGUGGGAACGUGCCUUUUAGUGGGGGAUAACAUCUGGAAACGGAUGCUAAUACCGCAUACGCCCUGAGGGGGAAAGAUUUAUUGCUAAGAGGUCGGCCCGCGGUAGAUUAGGCAGUUGGUGGGGUAAAGGCCUACCAAACCUACGAUCUAUAGCUGGUCUGAGAGGACGAUCAGCCACAUUGGAACUGAGACACGGUCCAGACUCCUACGGGAGGCAGCAGUGAGGAAUAUUGGGCAAUGGAGGCAACUCUGACCCAGCCAUGCCGCGUGAGUGAGAAGGUUUUCGAAUUGUAAAGCUCUUUCGGGUGUGAAGAUGAUGACGGUAACACCAGAAGAAGCCCCGGCAAAACUUCGUG
rnacentral:rRNA from 1 species